rnacentral:rRNA from 1 species
AUUGAACGCUGGCGGCAGGCCUAACACAUGCAAGUCGAGCGGAUGAAGGGAGCUUGCUCCUGGAUUCAGCGGCGGACGGGUGAGUAAUGCCUAGGAAUCUGCCUGGUAGUGGGGGAUAACGUCCGGAAACGGGCGCUAAUACCGCAUACGUCCUGAGGGAGAAAGUGGGGGAUCUUCGGACCUCACGCUAUCAGAUGAGCCUAGGUCGGAUUAGCUAGUUGGUGGGGUAAAUGCCUACCAAGGCGACGAUCCGUAACUGGUCUGAGAGGAUGAUCAGUCACACGGGAACUGAGACACGGUCCAGACUCCUACGGGAGGCAGCAGUGGGGAAUAUUGGGCAAUGGGCGAAAGCCUGAUCCAGCCAUGCCGCGUGUGUGAAGAAGGUCUUCGGAUUGUAAAGCACUGUAAGUUGGGAGGAAGGGAAGUAAGUUAAUACCUUGCUGUUUUGACGUUACCAACAGAAUAAGCACCGGCUAACUUCGUG